rnacentral:rRNA from 1 species
ACGAACGCUGGCGGCGUGCCUAAUACAUGCAAGUUGCGCGAUGAAGAUUGGUGCUUGCCCCAAUUUGACGAGCAGCGAACGGGUGAGUAACGCGUGGGGAAUCUGCCUUUGAGCGGGGGACAACAUUUGGAAACGAAUGCUAAUACCGCAUAACAACUUUAAACAUCAGUUUUAAGUUUGAAAGAUGCAAUUGCAUCACUCAAAGAUGAUCCCGCGUUGUAUUAGCUAGUUGGUGAGGUAAAGGCUCACCAAGGCGAUGAUACAUAGCCGACCUGAGAGGGUGAUCGGCCACAUUGGGACUGAGACACGGCCCAAACUCCUACGGGAGGCAGCAGUAGGGAAUCUUCGGCAAUGGACGAAAGUCUGACCGAGCAACGCCGCGUGAGUGAAGAAGGUUUUCGGAUCGUAAAACUCUGUUGGUAGAGAAGAACGUUGGUGAGAGUGGAAAGCUCAUCAAGUGACGGUAACUACCCAGAAAGGGACGGCUAACUACGUG